AUUGAACGCUGGCGGCAGGCCUAACACAUGCAAGUCGAACGGUAACAGGAAGAAGCUUGCUUCUUUGCUGACGAGUGGCGGACGGGUGAGUAAUGUCUGGGAAACUGCCUGAUGGAGGGGGAUAACUACUGGAAACGGUAGCUACUACCGCAUAACGUCGCAAGACCAAAGAGGGGGACCUUCGGGCCUCUUGCCAUCGGAUGUGCCCAGAUGGGAUUAGCUAGUAGGUGGGGUAACGGCUCACCUAGGCGACGAUCCCUAGCUGGUCUGAGAGGAUGACCAGCCACACUGGAACUGAGACACGGUCCAGACUCCUAGGGGAGGCAGCAGUGGGGAAUAUUGCACAAUGGGCGCAAGCCUGAUGCAGCCAUGCCGCGUGUAUGAAGAAGGCCUUCGGGUUGUAAAGUACUUUCAGCGGGGAGGAAGGGAGUAAAGUUAAUACCUUUGCUCAUUGACGUUACCCGCAGAAGAAGCACCGGCUAACUCCGUG
rnacentral:rRNA from 1 species